GACGAACGCUGGCGGCGUGCUUAACACAUGCCAGUCGAACGGGCCCGCUCUCUUUUUUGGGGGUGGGUUGAGUGGCGAACGGGUGAGUAUCACGUGAGUAACCUGCCCCCUGCUCCUGGAUAACUGCUUGAAAGGGCGGCUAAUACGGGGUGUGCCGGCUGGUCCGCAUGGGCCUGGUCGGGAUAGUUUCAUCUUCGGGUGUUUCGGUGGGGGAUGGGCUCGCGGCCUAUCAGCUUGUUGGUGGGGUGAUGGCCCACCAAGGCGGUGACGGGUAGCCGGCCUGAGAGGGUGGGCGGCCACACUGGGACUGAGCCACGGCCCAGACUCCGGCGGGAGGCAGCAGUGGGGGGGAUUGCACAAUGGGCGGAAGCCUGAUGCAGCGACGUCGCGUGAGGGAUGGAGGCCUUCGGGUUGUGAACCUCUUUCUCCGGUGGUGAAGGCCCUGUCCGUUGCGGCGGGGUUGACGGUAGCCGGGUAUGAAGCGCCGGCUAACUACGUG
rnacentral:rRNA from 1 species